UGGUGUAGGCAUACUCAGUGUUUUGAUAUCGUUUUUUUAACAGCUAUAUUCUGAGUGUUCAGUACCAUUUUGUGUGUAUAUAUAUAUAUAUGAAGUCACAGUCGAAUUUUAGCUGAAUCAAAAAGAAUACAAUUUACGACGCAUAUUACCUACAAUAUGUUUAAAUUGUGGCAUGUCCUGAUGUUGGCCGUUGUGGGUGCACCAAUUGUGAGCGGUUGGUGGACAAGGGGGGAAAGCGGUAUGCUUCGCAAUUCUGCAAAUUUCAAUGAUAGGAGAUCGGGGGAGCAGAAAAGUAACCAUGUCAAGUAUGGGGCACUGGACGAACCAAGUGAAGAUGCGUUGGCUGAAUUUGGCGGAGAGGAUCAAGACGGGAACUUCUUUAAAUUUCAUACCCGGGAGUCGGGCGGUCGAAUAAGGAACAGUGUUUUGCUGAAAACUAAUAAGCCGCCUGAGAGCGUGGAUCAAAAGCAACCGUGACCACAGGGUUUACAAUACUCCGCUCCUUUUAAGUUUGAUUUUGAGUCAUUGUUAGUGGUGCCAUUAUCAUGGGAGAGAUCACAGCUGUCGACGAUGAUAACAAAUUGAAGCACGUAGACCAUUGAUCUGACCUAAUAGAUAUACCUGCUUGGCUACAAUGUUUCCAUCUCAAUGUACUAGACUUUCAGCAUAAAUCGGAACAAGCAAUUAUAAUUUUGAAGUACAAAUGUUAUGUUUUCUAAGUAUUUAUUUGGACUCAUUUCAUUUGAAUUGCUAAAAAGUAAAUGCUGUUAAAGCUUGUAAGUCUUGAAAACUAUACAAUAUAUAAUUUCACGAUUAAUGAAAGUUCCCUCCUUACUCAUUAUUCCUUAGGCCUUUUUCGAAUAAGGAAUAAGGAACAAGUUCCGUAUUCCUUAUUCAAAAUGUAUUGUUACAAAUAGGCAUACAAUCAUUUACUAAUAAUGUGUUAUGGCUGGCUUUUCACACGAAUAAAGAAUAAAGUAUC